GACGAACGCUGGCGGCGUGCUUAACACAUGCAAGUCGAACGGAAAGGCCCUGCUUUUGUGGGGUGCUCGAGUGCGAACGGGGGGGUAACACGUGAGUAACCUGCCCUUGACUUUGGGAUAGCUUCAUGAAACUGGGGGUAAUACCGGAUAGGGGCUUCUUCUGCAGGGUGGGGGUUGGAAAGUUUCGGCGGUUGGGGAUGGUCUCGGGGCUUAUCAGCUUGUUUGUGGGGGUGUGGCUUGCCAAGGCUUUGAAGGGUAGCCGGCCUGAGAGGGUGACCGGCCACAUUGGGACUGAGAUACGGCCCAGACUCCUACGGGAGGCAGCAGUGGGGAAUAUUGCACAAUGGGCGGAAGCCUGAUGCAGCAACGCCGCGUGCGGGAUGACGGCCUUCGGGUUGUAAACCGCUUUCGCCUGUGACGAAGCGUGAGUGACGGUAAUGGGUAAAGAAGCACCGGCUAACUACGUG
rnacentral:rRNA from 1 species